AUCGAAACUACUAGGGAUAAUUACCUAUAUACCCCUCAUACGUUUGAAAAUAUUCGAUUUAUUCCUCCUCUUUUUUUUUUUUUCUUUCUAAAAUACCCUUUAUAUGUUCUAUCGUUAUUGCAAAAUACCCCCGCAGUUAUUUCCUUUUAAGUUAACUUGGGUUAAAUGUAAGUUAAAUAUCUACCACAGUUAAAAAAAAUUAAAAUACCAAUUUUGUCCUUAACUCAAGGGCAAAUAAGAAAUGUUGGUGACGGUAGAGGAGUAUACUGGAAAAGAUCAAAAGUCAAAAUACCUUUUGUGCCCCUGACUUUAAGGGCAAAUAAGAAAGUCAAUGAUGAUGGAAGAGUAUAUUAAUUUGAAAGGGCAAAAUAGUAAUUUGACAGAGAUAACAGAGUUAAUUAACCAAACACAAUUAUCCUGUGUAGUCCUGCCAGGAUAACUCGAAUCAAAUGCACCCUUAGGGGUAUAUUAAAAAUAGAUUGGAACGUAGAAAGGAUAUUUUCAAUAUUAGCCUUCUAAGAAGGGUAAAUCGGAAAGUCGGAAAUUUUUCAGGAAUAUAUAAGCAAUUGCCCCAAACUACUCCUGCUAACAACUGCCGAAACUACUACUACUACCUUC
rnacentral:lncRNA from 1 species